CACAGAAACACUUUCUGAAACCUCCUGCAGUUACGUGUUUUGCUAAGUAAAUCCGUUUACUUUUUUGGAGGAGCUUUUUACUUGUUUCCUGCUAUAUCCUCACUCCUAGAACAAUGUCUGACCUUUGGUAGGUGCACUUAAAAUAUUUGUUGAAUGAACCCCACGUGAAUUAGAAUUUACUUCACUGCAAGGGGCUGGAGUUCAUCAGGUGAACAUAGAAAGCAGUAUUAGGAGAAGAAACAUCAGACCCAAACUUAAUCUUUCUGGAAAUCUCAUGUCUCGCUCCAUCAGGGAAGGCAGGUCUUUUUAAGCUGAGGGCCUAGGGGUCAGUUCUUAGUGGCAUAGGAGGAUGUAACAACUAAAUGUAAGAGGAAUCCAUAAAUCAGCAGCUCAGAUUUGAGGCGAAGCGGGAGGGAAUCAGAGAAUGGUCAAAGAGGCAAUUAAUUUAUCAUCCUGCCAAUGUGAAGACCCACUGUUAGCCUGUUGCUUCUCCCUUCUAGCGGGCUUCCUUCCCUCACCUCUCUUCCUAGGAUCUUAAAGUAGCUAAAAGUAUGGUCAUGUUGCUGAUUGGGACCUAAUCUUGUCUGGUUAAUUUCUAGAUAUGGUUACAACCUCUCAGAUGCCUUCAGGACCCAGGCAAAUGGAAGAAAUGUAUGAACAGAAAGCUCAUGUGUCAGAAAGUAGGGAGUCAUGGGCUGGGUGGAGAAUUGGACAAUAUAUGUCCACUUCCAGGCACGAAUUAAUCUCUGCGGGGGAUAGCAAUGCCGAUGGAAAGAGUAUUUUGGUGGCACAGGUCAACACAGGCCCUAGGCAAGUCAUUGGCUCUCCAGUAAACGACUCCCAUUCCCUCUACAGAUGGCUGAUUCUGGUAAGAGACUUCUGAAGUCCAGUGUGAGUUAUCGACCUUGUAUAGAAUUGUCCCUAGGGCACUAUUUUAGUUUAGCUCAGUCUGAGAAUGACUGGGUUCUGAUAUCUAAGGGCCAUUGAGUGCCUAUAUGAAAUGGCAUGUGGCUCAGCCUAUUAGCACACACACACAAGCUGUAUGUCAACCACACUUCUAUUACUAGCUCUCUUCUCCCUCAAGGUUUAGAGACUGGGACGGAAGAGGUAAAAUUAAACUGACCUUUCACCUUUUGUAGCAGCGUUAAAGCAUAGUUAUGGGCAAGAUAAACAUUUUGGAGUAUAUAUCUCUUCUGACAAAAGUAUUCAGCUUUAAGAUCUGUUCCUUUUGGCAUCUUUCAUUAUGAGAGUAAACCGUUUGGAACAUUCUGGGCAUCUAGACUUAAUGAUAAAGGACAAGGAUUGUGACACACACAUACACACACGUACACACACACACACACACACACCCCACACUUAUAUAUAUAUUUAGUCUCUAGGUCUUUAAAUAUGCAAGUUCCUCUUCCAGGAGUGCGCUAAGUCACUCCUCUUUUGAGCCCUGACCCAAUUGUCAAUCCUUUUGUCUCCUGCAUGGGAAGCAGCUCACAAGCACAUGACCUGUCAGAUUCUGAAGCCCUGUUUCAGACUUGCUGAUUCAGAAUCUCUAUGGGCAGAAGGCUCAGGAAUCUACACCAGGAGCAAUGCACAUGCCAGAGUUUGUCUUUCCUCCACUGAGUUGUCACUCAUCUCCUUAAUUUGAGAGUGGCCCACAUUGGGGCAGACAUGAUGUUUUAUUUCUCUUUGUAUUUUUGAAGAGUCGUACAGAACCAGGGCUCGGCAUGCUGUUGACUGACUGAAUGAAUGCAUUUCUAAUUCAUCUGGUUCUACUGCUGACCAUAGGGCAUGAUACACUGAGAUUAAGCUUCUUUGAUUUUAAACAGC
rnacentral:lncRNA from 13 species